UCUUUUGUUCCUCAUUUAGUUGCAAUGUUUUCAAAAUAAUCUCGUGCUACACGACAAAUCAGUACUCAACAUAAUAUGAGUCGGCAAAUCUACAUCGCGUGUUAUCAAUAAGUCUUGGAAACUACUUUUUCCUUCCAUAUUAACUUGUCUUUUAUCGUCAUUUUCAAUAUGGUAUCUUUGCACAGAGACAAUAUUCACGGGUUUCGCUUCACAGUUAUUUACUGCGAGCCCUAAUUCUUUAAUAAAUUCAUCCGUUAAAACUCACACACGCUCCUGUUUCUAGGAGUGCUGCCACUUUUGCAUAUGUGUUAUCAUGAGUAGUGCGAUCUGCCUACCAAAGUUACUCGUGAGUUAUGUUAAUUAUAGCCUUCUUUUCAUUAUUUUUAAGGUCACUCCCUUGUUCGUUAUAGCCUUCUUUUCCUUAUAUUUAUGUGAUGCGGUUACUCCCUUGUUCGUUAUAGCCUUCAUCUUAUUAUAUUAAAGGUUACUCCCUUGUUCGUUAUAGCCUUCAUCUUAUUAUAUUAAAGGUUACUCCCUUGUUCGUUAUAGCCUUCAUCUUAUUAUAUUAAAGGUUACUCCCUUCUUCGUUAUAGCCUUCAUCUUAUUAUAUUAAAGGUUACUCCCUUGUUCGUUAUAGCCUUCAUCUUAUUAUAUUAAAGGUUACUCCCUUCUUCGUUAUAGCCUUCAUCUUAUUAUAUUAAAGGUUACUCCCUUCUUCGUUAUAGCCUUCAUCUUAUUAUAUUAAAGGUUACUCCCUUGUUCGUUAUAGCCUUCAUCUUAUUAUAUUAAAGGUUACUCCCUUCUUCGUUAUAGCCUUCAUCUUAUUAUAUUAAAGGUUACUCCCUUCUUCGUUAUAGCCUUCAUCUUAUUAUAUUAAAGGUUACUCUCUUCUUCGUUAUAGCCUUCAUCUUAUUAUAUUAAAGGUUACUCCCUUGUUCGUUAUAGCCUUCAUCUUAUUAUAUUAAAGGUUACUCCCUUCUUCGUUAUAGCCUUCAUCUUAUUAUAUUAAAGGUUACUCCCUUGUUCGUUAUAGCCUUCAUCUUAUUAUAUUAAAGGUUACUCCCUUCUUCGUUAUAGCCUUCAUCUUAUUAUAUUAAAGGUUACUCCCUUCUUCGUUAUAGCCUUCAUCUUAUUAUAUUAAAGGUUACUCCCUUGUUCGUUAUAGCCUUCAUCUUAUUAUAUUAAAGGUUACUCCCUUCUUCGUUAUAGCCUUCAUCUUAUUAUAUUAAAGGUUACUCCCUUCUUCGUUAUAGCCUUCAUCUUAUUAUAUUAAAGGUUACUCCCUUCUUCGUUAUAGCCUUCAUCUUAUUAUAUUAAAGGUUACUCCCUUAUUCGUUAUAGCCUUCAUCUUAUUAUAUUAAAGGUUACUCCCUUGUUCGUUAUAGCCUUCAUCUUAUUAUAUUAAAGGUUACUCCCUUGUUCGUUAUAGCCUUCAUCUUAUUAUAUUAAAGGUUACUCCCUUGUUCGUUAUAGCCUUCAUCUUAUUAUAUUAAAGGUUACUCCCUUCUUCGUUAUAGCCUUCAUCUUAUUAUAUUAAAGGUUACUCUCUGUUUUGUUCUUCGCUCAUUUUCCGCUUUUUCCACUGCAAGUGUGCAUAUUUAUUUAUUUAUUUAUUUAUUUUCAUUUGUUUAUUUAAUGUUAUUUGUAGUAGAUAACUGAGGGGGGCACUACCCUGGCCUCCUCUUCCUCUGAUUCUCUUACUUCACACAUUUAUCUUAAUACUUCACACUAUUGUCCAUAUGCUUCAUUUUUUUAUUUUUUAUUCAUGACUUUUUAUCCAUACCUCACACUUUUCUUAGUAUUUCACAUUUUUUCUAGAUCACACUCUACACUUCCUACCUGGGGGACGCGGGUUAGGCCUUUAUAAAGUCACUCUAUGGCUGCAUGCCCGCCGCGGCACACCACCACCCUGUGAGGCGUAGAGCCCCGUGCUCCCCUCCAUCCUGGGGUAACAAUCCUAAAACAAACAAACCUGAGAGGCGGGACGCUGCCGCUGCCUGUCACCUGACACCCUCUCACUGAUGAAUGGAUCGCGGCGCGGGUGGAGAGAGACUGCCCAUCCCUUUCCACUCCGCCCGGGAAGGAACUCAUGAAUUCUCGGUUGAGUCGCGUGUGCUACCCAUUGCACUACAGAACAACAGUGGUUGGCCAGAGUUUCCAUUACCAUAUCGUCAAAGUCCAUGUCCUCCGGAAGAACCAUUAAUUAUAUAAUUAAAUCGUCACUAUUAUUUCCGCCACUUAAAACGAGCAAAGCUUAAUGAAAAUAAGAGGCGUUUUCUCGUCAGAGUAAAUUUAACAAAAGCACUGUAAGCACAUGUCCCUAUUUAUCCCUACACCGCUGCCGCCAGUUUUAGACCCUUCUUUUCUUGUAUUAAAUCAACUCUUUUAUCACUCAUUAAUUACUCCAUAAAUGAUCUCACCGUCUCGUAUCCCUGGUAGCGUGAUCCGGCUUAAGUUGUUAUUGGAGACUGGUGUUCGGGGAUAAACAAGGGAAAAAGUAAAUAUACAUUUAUUUAAAAUUAAAUGAAAGUAAUUGCCUUACGCAAUAUUCUAUGCUCAGACGAUCAUAACACUGGCAUAUUCAGCAAUGGAUGCAACAUAUGACAAACGACAUGUCUUAAACAUAAUACUACAAUAUGUGCUCAGUUGUUGCCAAUAAUAAUAACACUCGUCGUUCCACAAGCAGUGGUUUGUUUCUCUCUGCUUACAUCACAAUCAUUAUGUACUCUCUUCACAAAAUCCUAAUAACACAUUCCUGUAGUAUGAUCUACUACAAGUCAUGGAAACACAUUAUUUUACCACACCCAGUGGUUUUACCUUUGCUUUACAUCGCAAACAAAUAAUCACAAUCCUGUCCCACUCACAAUCCUACUUCACAUCUCCUACAUUAUAAUCUCCAGGACAAUACAGUCGGUUUCACUUAGAUUCUCGAAUUUCUACUCACGAUUAAGAUCACAACAGCCAUCCUCGGCUGAGUGAGUAGCAGGUCUGCUUGAGGCGAGAACCAAGCUCGG